rnacentral:rRNA from 1 species
AGCAGCCGCCACGGUAAUACGUAGGUGGCAAGCGUUGUCCGGAAUUAUUGGGCGUAAAGGGCUUGCAGGCGGUUUCUUAAGUCUGAUGUGAAAGCCCCCGGCUCAACCGGGGAGGGUCAUUGGAAACUGGGAAACUUGAGUGCAGAAGAGGAGAGUGGAAUUCCACGUGUAGCGGUGAAAUGCGUAGAGAUGUGGAGGAACACCAGUGGCGAAGGCGACUCUCUGGUCUGUAACUGACGCUGAGGAGCGAAAGCGUGGGGAGCAAACAGGAUUAGAUACCCCGGUAGUCCCUGUCUCUUAUAC